rnacentral:rRNA from 1 species
UCGAGAAUUUUUCACAAUGGGGGAAACCCUGAUGGAGCGACGCCGCGUGGGGGAUGAAUGGCUUCGGCCCGUAAACCCCUGUCAUUCGGGAUCAAUACGUCCGGCUUAAUACGCUGGGCGUUGAUAGUACUGAAAGAGGAAGGGACGGCUAACUCUGUGCCAGCAGCCGCGGUAAUACAGAGGUCCCAAGCGUUGUUCGGAUUUACUGGGCGUAAAGGGUGCGUAGGCGGUCGGGUAAGUCUGGUGUGAAAUCUCCAAGCUUAACUUGGAAACUGCAUUGGAUACUAUCCGGCUUGAGGUUGGGAGGGGGGACUGGAAUUCUCGGUGUAGCAGUGAAAUGCGUAGAUAUCGAGAGGAACACCAGUGGCGAAGGCGAGUCCCUGGACCAAUCCUGACGCUGAGGCACGAAAGCCAGGGGAGCAAACGGG